UACGGAGGGUGCAAGCGUUAUCCGGAUUUACUGGGUUUAAAGGGUGCGUAGGCGGGUUGAUAAGUCAGUGGUGAAAUACUAUAGCUUAACUAUGAACUGCCGUUGAUACUAUCAAUCUUGAAUACAGUGGAGGCGGGCGGAAUGUGUCAUGUAGCGGUGAAAUGCUUAGAUAUGACACAGAACACCUAUUGCGAAGGCAGCUCGCUACACUGUUAUUGACGCUGAUGCACGAAAGCGUGGGGAUCAAACAGG
rnacentral:rRNA from 1 species